rnacentral:rRNA from 1 species
ACCUUUUGGUAUUCCGAAAGGUACACCUGUUUGAAUGUCAUGAAACCCCCCUCGGCUCUAAUGCUUUCUAAAAGGAUUAGAGACGGAUUCUGAGUGUUGGCGUGAAUACGCCUCGCUUUAAAUAUAUCAGCACUUUUGGAUGGUUUAGAAUUAGCUCAAAAGACGUACUUGAUGUUGUAUUUAUAUUUCAUUGAGGCAGUCUUUGGUCUUUAUGACUAUCCGCUAAUACGAAAACUUGAAGAAUAGCUUCCUAACCCUAUUAAAUUACCCUUUAGACUUCAAAUCAGGUGGGACUACCCGCUGAACUUAGGCAUAUCAAUAAGCGGAGGAAAAGAAAAUAACUAUGAUUCCCUUAGUAACGGCGAGUGAACAGGGAAAAGCCCAAAUUUGUAAUCUGGCACUUUUUACAAGUGUCCGAGUUGUAAUUUGUAGAGCUGUUAUCCGUACUGGACCAUGUACAAGUCUGUUGAAAAGCAGCAUCAUUGAAGGUGAAAAUCCUGUAGAUGAUAUGGACUACCAGUAUAUUUGUGAUACGGUUUCUAAGAGUCGAGUUGUUUGGGAAUGCAGCUCAAAGUGGGUGGUAAAUUCCAUCUAAGGCUAAAUAUAAGUGAGAGACCGAUAGCAAACAAGUACCGUGAGGGAAAGAUGAAAAGAACUUUGAAAAUAGAGUUAACAGUACGUGAAAUUGCUGAAAGGGAAACGAUUGAAG